rnacentral:rRNA from 1 species
AGUGAACGCUGGCGGUAGGCCUAACACAUGCAAGUCGAACGGCAGCACAGUAAGAGCUUGCUCUUACGGGUGGCGAGUGGCGGACGGGUGAGGAAUACAUCGGAAUCUACUUUUUCGUGGCGGAUAACGUAGGGAAACUUACGCUAAUACCGCAUACGACCUACGGGUGAAAGCAGGGGAUCUUCGGACCUUGCGCGAUUGAAUGAGCCGAUGUCGGAUUAGCUAGUUGGCGGGGUAAAGGCCCACCAAGGCGACGAUCCGUAGCUGGUCUGAGAGGAUGAUCCGCCACACUGGAACUGAGACACGGUCCAGACUCCUACGGGAGGCAGCAGUGGGGAAUAUUGGACAAUGGGCGCAAGCCUGAUCCAGCCAUACCGCGUGGGUGAAGAAGGCCUUCGGGUUGUAAAGCCCUUUUGUUGGGAAAGAAGAGCAGCAGGUUAAUACCCCGCUGUUCGGACGGUACCCAAAGAAUAAGCACCGGCGAACUUCGU